rnacentral:rRNA from 1 species
GCCUACGGCCACAUCACCCUGAAAGCGCCCGAUCUCGUCUGAUCUCGGAGGCUAAGCAGGGUCGGGCCUGGUUAGUACCUGGAUGGGAGACCGCCUGGGAAUACCAGGUGCUGUAGGCC